ACUCCUACGGGAGGCAGCAGUGGGGAAUAUUGCACAAUGGGCGCAAGCCUGAUGCAGCCAUGCCGCGUGUGUGAAGAAGGCCUUCGGGUUGUAAAGCACUUUCAGUUGUGAGAGAUGGUGUGUAUAGUACGCGAUCAUUUGACGUUAGCAACAGAAGAAGCACCGGCUAACUCCGUGCCAGCAGCCGCGGUAAUACGGAGGGUGCGAGCGUUAAUCGGAAUUACUGGGCGUAAAGCGCAUGCAGGUGGUUUGUUAAGUCAGAUGUGAAAGCCCGGGGCUCAACCUCGGAA
rnacentral:rRNA from 1 species